GGAUAAAUAGAAAUGCAGAAAGAAAAUCAAAGUGUCUCCUCCUAACAUGGAGAGACGCAAAGCGGUCCCUGUGAGCUUUGUUACACAUCUCGUGUCUCUGACUGCAGAGAUAUCGGAAGGGAGCGCUUUGCCAACUCCAUGCUCAGCCCCUGGGGUACCGCUCCUGCUUUGGGCCAUGCUUGGCUGAACCCUUCCAGCAGCUCCAUGGUUUUUUGACACAUCAUUGCAAGAGAAGCUUUGAUUUGGAGGAUGCCAACAGCACUGAAUGGGACUGAGAUGAUAAAUCAAAUUGUUUGAGGGGUGUCUGCCAGUCACCAUUCUCCUUCCCCAUCUCUGCAUUGAGAAGUCAGGAUCGUGGUGCAGAGCACAGAGGGAGCCAGGCAGUGGGGGGAGCUGUGCAGCAGUGUGUGGGACAGCGGAGAGGUGCAGGGGGGUAUAUGGGUGUAUGUGGGGCUGGCACAGGGCUCUGCAAGACAAAGAGUGUGGGGAGCAGGGACACGGCACCGAUGAUGUGCUUUUCUCUUUGGGAACCGGAUGGAGCUGUCACCCAUCUGCUUCUGCUUUGACUAGGGAUUUAUCCAUAGAUGAAAAUGAGGCUGAAGCUCCCAGGAAUGAGAAAUCUCGUGCUGCCAAGCCACACAGUGCUGCUACUGCAGGAGAGUAAGGGAUGCUGUUGCCUGGAGGCACAGAGCUUGGAUACUGCUCACUGAUGUUCCCAGGGAUGUCUGUUGAAGUAUCUGUUGCUAUUUGACCAUGGAGAGCUUCAGGGGGAGUGAGCAAACCUUUUUUUUCCAAGCUGUUUGCAAGCCAAGCGCAUUCUGGAAAGAUUUGCCCAUUCCCGUCUCCCUGUGCUCGCUUUGCAGAGGCUGUCCUGGUGGGUGGAAAUGAUCCCUUGGUACACACAGUGGAAAAGAAGCAGUUCUUCCUGUGAGUCUCCCUCUGUUUCCCUCUGCUGCUCAUUAUUUUUUGUGCAUUAGCUUAUCUUUCCAUCUAUCCUUCUAUCUAUCCAUCAGUCUAUCCAUCCAUCCAUCCAUCUGUCCAUCCAUCUUUCUGUCCGUCCAUCCGUCUGCCUAUCCAUCCAUCCAUCUCUCCAUCCAUCCGUCUGUCUGUCCAUCUGUCCAACCAUCUAUCCACCCAUACGUCUAUCCAUUUGUCUUUCCAUCUGCCCCUCUGUCCAUCCAUCUCUCCAACCAUCCAUCCACCCCUACGUCUGUCCAUUUGUCUGUUCAUCUGUCCCUCUGUCCAACCAUCCAUCCAUUCAUUCGUCUCUCCAUCCACAUAUCCAUCCAUUCAUCCCUCCAUCCCUCCAUCCAUUUGUGUCUCCAUCCGCCCGUCCAUUCACCUCUCCACCCAUCCGUCCGUCUGUCCAUCCAUCCAUCUAUCCAUCCAUCCAUCCGCACAGGUUGCCAGCACUGGGAAGGGCUCCACGGGCCUGCCAAGGCCAGAUGGUGUUUGUGAGGAGCUCCAGGUCCCAGCUGAGCGCUGCCCGGCGAGAUGCAUGCAGGAGCUGCCGGGCAGCCGGCUCUGCCAAACCCACGGCAUAUGCUGCGCCCGGCCCUACACCUGCUGGUGGGCAGCCGCUGCGCGCUGCCGGCGUAAAGGAAGGAGGAAAAGCACAGCCCCAUCUGGAAGGAAUUUAAUGGAUAAACAACAGCGGUGAAACCCCCAACAUUAAAAAAAAAAAAAAAAAAAAAAGUAUAAAAUUGAAGAGUGUGCAGAGGGAGUCAGAAACGGCAGGGGGGGGUGCUACGGUGCGGGGCUGAGGUGGCCAGGGCAUGCCCACGUUUGCACCAUCACCCCAGUUUCCACCAUGACCCCCAUUUGCCCACGUGCAGCCCCACCAGCCCCAGCUAAAUGUGCUGAGAACUGCUGGGGGAUAUUUGGAGAAAACCCCAAAUGACCACGAGCAAAAUUGAUGGGGAAAUAGACUUCCUGCCUACUUUGUAUUUACUUUAAAACUGUGCACACUCAAGCCUGUAAUUUAUUGAAAGGAAGCAGACUGGAAACCAGAUUCACACUGUGAGUAAUUUCUAACAUCAUUGCCAUCUAUCACCGGGAGACAGGGCACUUUGUUUCUCUGAAAAAUUAUUUUUGUAGUUGGCUUAGUAACAACAACAAUUAUUAUUAUUAAUAUUAAUAACUACUUGUGUAAGGCCUUUCAUGCGCUGCUUAGGAAGGGUUCUGUGCAUGGGACAGUUGUGUUGGCUGUUCCUCCUGGGAAGGGAAACCGAAACACAGACUUGGCCCCUGCCUUGCUCAGGUGGGCAGCAUCCUUUUCUGCUACGUUUGCUGUACUGGAUGCAUAGGAUUUCUGUUCUACCUGUCCUGGAGCUUUGUUCUUGCUGAGAGCAGAGGCACAUCAGCAGCUCCAGCGAUGGGCUGUGUCUCCUGGCAGGACCAGAAGUGUGGUACAGCGUGAGUUUUCCCCUCUGCUGUUCUCCAGGCUGAAUCUCUACAGCAUGUCCAACCUGGCGUUGGGAAAUCCCUUUGGAGCCCAGUGUUGCCAGCCCUGCCCAGUGGAUAUCUCCCAGCAUCACCAUUGAUGUGCUGGGCUCCUUAACAAAGGGCCAACUCUAACCCAGCAGGUACAUCUGACCAGGCUUUGCUGUUGAGGUGGGGGAAGCUCAAAAAAACGUUCUGCCAUUACUCUUCUUUCUUCCCUCUCCUGAGCCCCUCUCCAGGUCCCAUCCACCCACUUGCCAGCAGCAUCUCCACAGGCCGUGCUGAGCAUCACUCCAUGGACCCGACCCCACUGCCAGCCACUGCUGCCAUUCAGACUGCUGAAGUCAAAUUAGGGUCAGAUUUUGGGUGGCUCUGCUUGGAGCCAGGAGUUGGGCUCAGUGCUUCUUAUGGAUCCCUUCCAACUCAGAAUAUUCCACGACUCGAUGAUGUUAUGAUUCAAGGGGAUCUCAGGAAGUUGCCCACACCAUGGCGUUACACAAAGGACUCAGGAAAGGGGCAGGAUCCACGAGGCCAUGCAGAAGACGGGAUCUUCCGUAGCUUUUCUUCCCGGGGAAGGGCUCUGAGGAGAGUUCUGCACCCUCUGCAGUGGGGAACAGCACAGUCACUUUCUUGGAGAGCUGCACAAGAGGUGGAUUGAACAGGCAAGGAGAAAGGGAGCUGGGACGUCGCGGGGUGAAAGCUGAGAAGUCCCGAGCAUCCCACGUUGAGCAUCUGCUUACAGCAAGCAAUAUCAUCCACUUCAGAUGGAAACUGCCCCCAGAGCCGUCCUCCCUCCCCAUGAGCAUCCGGAGCCGCUGCGCACAGAGGGCCUUCAAAGAUUCAGCGUUGACAGGGGUUGUUCUGAAUGUAACAGGAUCCCGUGGCAGAUGUAAACCAGACUGCAAGCAUUUGCCUUGCGUUUUGCAGAGGAGGUCAGCGCGGGGGUUUGCCUGUGAAAACGUGGAUGUGGGGCUGCCAGCAUCAGCAGGCAAAGCUGGGUGCUUCUCUUGGUGGUACUUUGCAAACCAAGCGUGGGCAGCGCAGCCCUCUUCUGCCAUCCUUUGGACCUCCCAUGGCCUCUGCAUCGCGCUGACACCUCGCUGAGGCUGACAGGAGCUGCGUUUUGGCCCAGGAGCUCCACACGAGGAGGCUGGGCCUGCAGAGUGGAGCACUCCGGGUCUCAUUUGCAGGUGGGCAGUGGGGGCUCCCAGUGAGGGCUGUCUGCAUGUUGCAGGUCCAGGUUCUUUAGAAGCCCUGGGUGUUGCUACGUGCUUCGCAGGGAGCCUUUGAAGUCAGCCUGAGCUCCAAGCCAUCCCCUAAUUGCUUCUCCUUUAUCAGACAGAUUUUCAAUGAACUUCACAGAAGGCGUUUGAGGCCAGAGCGGCCCCAUCGGCUGCCAAGUGACCGGUGCUGGGUGAGCCCUGUUUUUUAAAUGUAAAGAUGUUUCUUUAUGUUUGGGUAGGGACGGGCUGCGGUCACCGGGACCUGAGGAAGCGGCAGGCAGCCUCCGUGCAUUGGGAUAGCACAGCUCAGGUGGGUGAAAGCGAACGCAGCGCGGGGAGCCUCGAGCACGGAGCAGAGCUGGUGGGCGUCCUCGUGGAGCCGUGAGCGCUGGGGAGAAAAAGGCAACAGGAGAGCAGCCGCAGGGCUCGCAGCGCUGCCUGCCCGCUGUAAGGCCCGGCACGGACACUGCGUGGCACUCUU